rnacentral:rRNA from 1 species
CCUACGGGUGGCAGCAGUGGGGAAUAUUGCACAAUGGGGGAAACCCUGAUGCAGCGACGCCGCGUAAGUGAAGAAGUAUCUCGGUAUGUAAAGCUCUAUCAGCAGGGAAGUAAAUGACGGUACCUGACUAAGAAGCCCCGUCGAACUACGUGCCAGCAGCCGCGGCAAGACGGAGGGGGCAAGCGUUAUCCGGAUUUACUGGGUGUAAUGGGAGCGUAGGCGGUUGAGCAAGUCUGAAGUGAAAGGCCGCGGCUCAACUGCGGGACUGCUUUGGAAACUGGCCGGCUAGAGUGCAGGAGAGGUAAGCGGAAUUCCUAGUGUAGCGGUGAAAUGCGUAGAUAUUAGGAGGAACACCGGUGGCGAAGGCGGCCUGCUGGACUAUGACUGACGUUGAGGCCCGAAGGCGUGGGGAGCAAACAGGAUUAGAUACCCUGGUAGUC